rnacentral:rRNA from 1 species
UUCCGGUUGAUCCUGCCGGAGGCGACCGCUUUUGGAGUUCGAUUAAGCCAUGCGAGUCGAGAGCCUUAGGGGCUCGGCAUACUGCUCAGUAACACGUGGAUAACCUGCCCUAUUGUCUGGAAUAACCUCGGGAAACUGAGAACAAGGCCGGAUAACCCACAAUGCCUGGAACGGUUUGUGGGUGAAGAUAGGAUGGGUCUGCGGCGUAUCAGGUCGUAGGGGGUGUAAUGGACCUCCUAGCCAUCGACGCGUACGGGUGUUGGGAGACAUAGCCCGGAGAUGGAUUCUGAGACACGAAUCCAGACCCUACGGGGUGCAGCAGGCGCGAAAACUUCACACUGCAGGAAACUGUGAUGAGGGAACUCCAAGUGCAUGCACUAUGUGUAUGCUUUUCUUAACUAUUAAUCGGUUUUGGAAUAAGGGCUGGGAAAGACCGGUGCCAGCCGCCGCGGUAAUACCGGCAGCUCAAGUGGUCGUCGCUUUUAUUGGGCCUAAAACGUCCGUAGCCUGUUUGGUAAAUCUGUGGGUAAAUCAACCAGCUUAACUGGUUGAAUUCUGCAGAGACUGCCAGACUAGGGACCGGGAGAGGUGUGGGGUACUCUAGGGGUAGGGGUAAAAUCCUGUCAUCCUUAGAGGACCACCAGUUGCGAAGGCGCCACACUGGAACGGAUCCGACGGUCAGGGACGAAGCCUAGGGGCACGAACCGGAUUAGAUACCCGGGUAGUCCUAGGUGUAAACGCUGUGAACUUGGUGUCGGGGAUCCGUAAUGGGUUCUCGGUGCCGGAGUGAAGAUGUUAAGUUCACUGCCUGGGGAGUACGGUCGCAAGGCUGAAACUUAAAGGAAUUGGCGGGGGAGCACUGCAACGGGAGGAGCGUGCGGUUUAAUUGGAUCAACGCCGGA